GGUACAUGUAUAUCCUCCUUGCUCUGUCCAGUGUCCUCCAUAUUAUAUAGUGGAUCCCCAUUAGAACUAUUGGUUUUCAUCUUCUGGUGCUUUCUCUCCUAUGAUAGAGCUUUUCUUUUCCCUUAUAUCUGCUUGCUGGUCAGCUAGGCCUGGUCCUAUUUGCCGUAGCCAAAUCCACUGUCAAAGGCUUUCCUACUGCAGUUGCCAUGGAGAAAACAGCUUCUCUUGCAAAAAAAUUUGGAGGUAAUAUGCUGGAGUGGAUAGCAUCUUCACAUAAUCUUCAAAGAGAGAAAAUCUAAUCAGAAUGUAUCUUUCAUCAAUAAGGCCAAUGGUGGCAUUCCCUUUGAUUGCACAUUGUACUGGAAUUACUUCUCUUAGUUUCUUUAUGUCUAUGAUAUCAUAAGAGAAUUUGCCCAAGAUUGCAUAUUGUAAAUCUUCUUUGAUUAUCAUCUGGUGUAUUUCCUUAGAAUUCCAAGUUAUGUGGGGUUCACCAUCUACAAAAAUAACAGUCUUGGAUGGGAUAUUAA